rnacentral:rRNA from 1 species
AUUGAACGCUGGCGGCAUGCCUUACACAUGCAAGUCGAACGGCAGCGGACCUUCGGGUGCCGGCGAGUGGCGAACGGGUGAGUAAUAUAUCGGAACGUACCUUUCAGUGGGGGAUAACGUAGCGAAAGUUACGCUAAUACCGCAUAUUCUGUGAGCAGGAAAGCAGGGGAUCGCAAGACCUUGCGCUGAUUGAGCGGCCGAUAUCAGAUUAGCUAGUUGGUGAGGUAAAGGCUCACCAAGGCGACGAUCUGUAGCGGGUCUGAGAGGAUGAUCCGCCACACUGGAACUGAGACACGGUCCAGACUCCUACGGGAGGCAGCAGUGGGGAAUUUUGGACAAUGGGCGCAAGCCUGAUCCAGCCAUGCCGCGUGAGUGAAGAAGGCCUGGUU